rnacentral:lncRNA from 1 species
UGGAAAUGAACUGGUAUUAUUCACAUGACCUCUUACUGUCUAAUUAAUAAAAUGUAUCUUCUCUUUAUUCAUGGGAGAAUUGGGUAGGUGGUAUUGUACAGGCUUGUUCGACCGAGGUAUUUCGGUUGAGCGCCGGUCUCGCUCCCCAAGGUCGUGGCAUGAGAGACAGUUCCAUGGAGAAGGAUGGCUCCCAGUCUUCCAGCUCUUUCUGCUCUUUCUGCAACUGCUCUGAACUCUUAGCAUUGGCAUCUUCCCUUUGCACUAAGGCCUCCUUCUCAACCUUAAAUCCUUCAAGAUCGGACUUCAACUUUUGAUUUGCCUCGGUAAGCUCCAUAACCUUAGCCAUCUACCCCUGCACCCUUUUAAGUCCAUCCAUGGAGAUCAACUUGCCCUACAAAAUGAAAUAUAUGAGUGACUAAAAUAGUAGUCCCCAGGAUAGCAAAAUAGUUUAAUGCAAACAAAUUAUCUUAUCUUGAGAGCUAACAAAAUAAUAUGUGAAAUCAACCCCUCUGUUGAGUGCCUCCUAAGUUGGACACUUUCCACGGGAUUGAUCAACUCAUGUAGAUAAAUGCCAGCAUGGCUUGGAGCCUUGAAAAUAUUAAUAUUGCCAGGAACGAAGAUCAUAAUUGUGCAAUUACCGACGUUAGUUGAGAGACUGGCUUGCAACACCUGCUCCUGAUCUCUGUUGGCAUCCCUAAACUCUAGACGAUAUCAUUCCCGAUAAAUAACCAUAGGUGCUUCAUGCAAACCUUUAACUUUCCCGGGUUGCUCCCCCUCUUGCUAAUGUCAUUAUUUAUCUUCUUAAAAAGAACCAACAAGAGGUUGUCUCACCGAUUGUUGGCUCCCCCCUUCCGGGACGACACUAGACAUAUCAAAAUUUUAUUUCUUCCUAGUAAGUAAAUCCAAAAAGUGCCUAUUAAGC